UUGCUGUCGUCUGCAGUAACUCGCACUGACUGAUUACCCUUCAUGUGUCUCGUAGGCUCUGGCCGGCUAUUUUGACGUGUUCUUCGAGAAGGAUUGUCAUACGCCAGUCGCCUUUUCCACCGGCCCGGCGUGCACCAAAACUCACUGGAAGCAAACGGUUUUCCUUCUGGAGAAACCGAUCGACAUCAAAGCAGGUGAGGUCUUGGCGGGGAAGAUAUUCGUGCGCAAGAACCGGAAGGACCCGCGUUCCCUCCUUCUAACCCUUACCCUGGACAGCGCGACACAAACCUAUAUCGUGCAAUAGACGCACAGGCUGCUGAAAACUCAAGUCUUUUUUUCUAGAUAUAUUCAUUGAAAUAAAUUUAUUAAAACAUUUAA